GGAGUGGCUGCUGCUCAUCAACAUGUCUUUACCCAAGAAAGCUAAAUCAGGGACUCUUAAACGAAAGGAAAAGGCAGAAAAGGGCAGAAAACAAGGAGAGGGAAGAUGACUCCUCACACAUUUCUUUCAAAAGAAAGAUGCAUCACUCAAUUAUUCAGGCAGAUAGAAGGCAUACAGUGGAAUGCUGCACAGCUUGUAAGUUGUUCCACUGCCCCCUUUGCUCUGAAUAUAAGCCCAGCCUGCCUGCCAAGCUCCAGCAGCACCUGGAUGUACACAUCAGAUACGCCAUCACAUUCAAAGACAAACACAUCUGAAAAUGUAAUUUGAACUGCUGGAGUGGAGGACACUUUCAUUGCCCAAUGUGUGAAGGAAGCAUUAUUAGAAGGACAGACAUGGAGGGACACCUGAAGGCUUGCCAAGGUGCCACAACAUCCUCAGCUGCUGCCCAAUGCGAGCCAGACCCUCGUCCAUCAGACACAUCUGCUACACCCUCUCCCUGCUUCCACUGCGCUGCUGAGUGAGUGUGUGUGUGUGUGUGUGUUCGUGUGUGUGUGUGAGAGAGAG